CUCUGUCUCUCCUGCCACCAUGUGAAGAAGGUGCUUGUUUCCCCUUUGCCUUCCGCCAUGAGUGUAAGUUUCCUGAGGUCUCCCAGUCAUACUGCUGGUUAAGCCUGCAGAACGGCUGGUCUUGAACUCCCAGCCUCAAGCCAUCCUCCCGCCUUGGCCUUUCAAAGUGCUGGAUUACAAGCGUGAGCCACCGUGCACAGCCAAGACACAAUUUUAAAUCGAGCGGUCAGGAAGCCUCCUGGAGAAAAUGACGUUUGAACAAAGACAUGAAGAAAGUGGAGAAUAUUUGGAGAAAAGCAUUUCAGGCAGAGGAAAGUGCCAGGGCAGAGGCCCCGAGGAUAUGGGACUUCCUUGUGGACAUAAAAUGGCUGCUGCAGCUCCAGGCCACACAUGCACCUUCCAGGUAGAAAGAACUCACUAGGAAAGGCAAGAAGAAAACUGUUCUCCCUUAACAAGAACCUCCCCAGUUUCAGCUUUCUUUGUGGGGUAGUGGAGAGGCAGCAUUCAGAGAACCCAGAAUCAGACUCUGCUUAGAGAAGGUUGGCUUCUGGGGACAUCUUUUGAUCAUGUCUGCUCAAUGUCACCAUCUUAAGGCAGGAGGAAGCAACAGAAAACAGGGAAGCAGGUGUCCCAGGAGGAGCCCAAUGCCAUGGAAAGAUGGGAAAAGAGGUGGUGGAUGAGAUCCUGGAUUCUUAUAAACUUUAUCUACUCCACUUGCACAGAUGAUGGAGGAUUUGAGGAGUGUCAGUGAAUGCUCUGUGUGGACUGAACUUGGAGCAGACUGGGGCUGGAACUCUCCAGGGAGGGCAACUUUGACCGAGACAUCUUAGGGUUUGCCAAGUCCUCAGCAGAUGUUUUUUGAUGUGCCUUGAGAUCCUCAAAUGAGAAGGGCAGUGGGAUUCUUCCCUCUCCAGCCAGGACCACAUCUGUGCUUUUCUGUAAUUGUGUAAAAAAAAAAAAAAAAAAAAAAAGGUCUUCUAAAAUUUUCUGAUGGAAUAUAUGCUCAUAGCCCCGAAAAAGAAAAAAAAAGAAAGAUGAGUGUAAGGAAGAAAAAAAUUAUCUGGAGUUCCACUACCCACAAAUGAGCAUGGUUAACAUUUCUUCUAGACUUCUAAUGUAUUCAGACACAUGCACUUUCCGCCCCCAUACUGUACAUAUUUUCUCUUAAUCUGCAUCUUUUUCACUUAAAAUAUGUCAUGCACACCUCGGCAUGUCAAUAAAUAUAGAAGAAUGUCGUCCCUUUUAAAGUUUGCAUAGUCCACGGUUGUGCCAGCAUUUAUUUACGAACCUCCUCUUACUGGGGGUUGUAGGUUGAUUUAAACUUUUGUCUGAUUAUUAGCCAUCCUCUAUUGCUUGCCCUUGUAUGUAUUUCAUCUGACUACUGUUUUAUACUUAAUUCCUAAUAGUGUAAUUGGGGGGUCAUGGAACUUUUUAAAAAAAGAUUUCAUGCAUAGAACCAAACUGCCUUCCAGAAAGAUGCUAAUUUACACGCUCAACAGCUAUAUAUGAUAUUAUCCCACACACCACUAAAACUGCUCACUAGAGAGAUUGGAUAUAUUUCCAAAUUGGUUUUUAGCCAUUUUUAUUUCUCCUCCUCAUCCUAAUUCUUCUUAUUUUGCAUUGCAUGUUUCUAUCUUUGCUUAUGUUUUUAAAAACUGGCAAUAUAAAGC
rnacentral:lncRNA from 1 species